UACGUAGGGGGCGAGCGUUGUCCGGAUUUAUUGGGCGUAAAGGGUUCGUAGGCGGUGCGGCAAGUUGGGAGUGAAAUCUCUGGGCUUAACCCAGAGGCUGCUUCCAAAACUGCUGUGCUUGAGUGUGGGAGAGGCGCGUGGAAUUGCAGGUGUAGCGGUGAAAUGCGUAGAUAUCUGCAGGAACACCCGUGGCGAAAGCGGCGCGCUGGACCACUACUGACGCUGAGGAACGAAAGCUAGGGGAGCAAACAGG
rnacentral:rRNA from 1 species